GGUGCCAUAGCUCAGUUGGUAGAGCAAAGGACUGAAAAUCGUUGUGUCCCCGGUUCGAUUCCUGGUGGCACCA
rnacentral:tRNA from 1 species